rnacentral:rRNA from 1 species
UAUUAUUAAUUUUUAAAUUAUAUUUUAAAGUAGUCUAUUUAAAAAUAAAAAUUAAAAUAAUUUGGCAGUAUUUUAAUCUAAUUAGAGGAACUUGUUAAUUAAUAGAUAAUCCACAAUAAUUUUUACUUAAUUUAUAUUAAUUUAUAUAUCGUUAUCAAAAAAAAAUUUUUAAAAAAAAUUUUUAAAAAAAUUAUAAAAAUUUAAAUGUUAAAUCAAGAUAUAAUUUAUAAUUAAGCUUUUUAUGAGUUACAAUAAAUAUAUUUUUGAAUAAAAAAAUUAUUUUUUUUUUUGAAAUUGGAUUUAAUAGUAAAUUUUUUUAAAUAAAAUUAUUGAAAUUAAGUAUAAAUAUGUACAUAUGGCCCGUCAUUUUCAAUAAGUGAAAAAA